UUUCUGGACAUCUCCCAUCCAUCUCCCCCCAGUUCCUAGUUUAAAGCUCUCUUUAUCAGUUGUGCCAGCCUCGAUCCUAGAAGUCUAUUUCCUUCCCUACUCAGAUGAAGUCCAUCCCGAGAGAACUCUUCUCGAGCCAGGAGGAAGACAGCCAGUCACAGCGGCCGGUACUUGGUGGAGGACAAACAGAAGAGCAGUUUCCCAAUGCAACCUUGAGAUCUCAGCCAUCCGUGUUAUCACUGGCCGAGAGACUGCAAAGACUUAGGAAGAGGCCAUGAAAAAGCAAAGAAGACAAGCUGCAAGAAGUGAUGCAGCAAUCUCUUAAAGAGAAUCAAAAAGCGCAGGAGUGGAGGGAGAGCGAAAGCAGGAUCUGCCAGGAAAACGCAGUGCACCGGCGACAAAGCACGGAGCUCCGGCAGCAAAGCACGGAUCGGCUGAUAAGCAUCAUGGAGCGCAAAGCAGACUCUAUCCAGGUGCUUGUAGCCAUGCAGGCGGAGCACUACUAUGCCCGCCCGCCCCCCUCGCAGCCAUUGUCCCAAAACUCUUUCUCUUGUGCCCCUAUGUCACCUCCAACCCACUUUCCCCAACCUCCGGGUUCUUAUCGCCACCAGCUGCCUCCAACAUCUGUAGCUUCACCACCCAGCCCUGAAAACUACAACGCUUACCCACUGCACUCAACCCCCAUCCUGAAUUAUAGCCAUCCUGAAGUGCAGCACUCAUUGCACAGCACUCCACACAGGAAGGCUAAGUAUGAGAACAGGACAUACGCAAAUCUGUGAUUGAACCAUUCCCCACCCCGCCCAUCUUGCCCUUUCUGUUUCCCAGGCAGUUGUGUUUCUUUUCAAUAAAUGAAUUUUCUUUUCAAUAAAUGGA